rnacentral:rRNA from 1 species
CUACGAGACGCUCCAGUGGGGAAUAUUGCACAAUGGAGGAAACUCUGAUGCAGCAACGCCGCGUGGAGGAUGACACUUUUCGGAGCGUAAACUCCUUUUAUAUAGGAAGAAGAUGACGGUACUAUAUGAAUAAGCGCCGGCUAACUCCUUGCCAGCAGCCGCGGUAAUACGGAGGGCGCAAGCGUUACUCGGAAUCACUGGGCGUAAAGAGCGUGUAGGCGGAUUAAAAAGUCAGAAGUGAAAUCCUAUAGCUUAACUAUAGAACUGCUUCUGAAACUCUUAAUCUAGAAUAUGGGAGAGGUAGAUGGAAUUUCUGGUGUAGGGGUAAAAUCCGUAGAGAUCAGAAGGAAUACCGAUUGCGAAGGCGAUCUACUAGAACAUUAUUGACGCUGAGACGCGAAAGCGUGGGGAGCAAACAGGAUUAGAUACCCCAGUAGUC